rnacentral:rRNA from 1 species
GACGAACGCUGGCGGCGUGCUUAACACAUGCAAGUCGAACGGUAAGGCCCUUCGGGGUACACGAGUGGCGAACGUGUGAGUAACACGUGGGUGAUCUGCCCUGCACUUCGGGAUAAGCCUGGGAAACUGGGUCUAAUACCGGAUAGGACCCUGGGAUGCAUGUCCUGGGGUGGAAAGCUUUUGCGGUGUGGGAUGGGCCCCCGGCCUUUCAGCUUGUUGGUGGGGUGGUGGUCGACCAAGGCGACGACGGGUAGCCGGCCUGAGAGGGUGACCGGCCACACUGGGACUGAGAUACGGCCCAGACUCCUACGGGAGGCAGCAGUGGGGAAUAUUGCACCAUGGGCGCAAGCCUGAUGCAGCGACGCCGCGUGAGGGAUGACGGCCUUCGGGUUGUAAACCUCUUUCAGCACCGACGAAGCGCAAGUGACGGGAGGUGCAGAAGAAGGACCGGCCAAUUACGUGCCAGCCGCCGCAGUAA